GGCAGAGCAGGACAGCACAAAAUGUACUGUACCCUCCAUCCUGUGUAACUAUGUAUCAGACUCCUUUUUCUUAGAAAACCGCGAGAAUGUAACAAUUGCAUGAACCUGCCAAUAGGAAUGUAGAGAAGUAGAUUCAGUCCAAAUUAGGCAAUCUCUGUAACCCACGUCACUUCCCUAAGCCCACCCAAAUGUCCAACCCUUUAUAAUUCAUCACUCCCCCGGAGUUCGCUCUCUGGCCCCACUGCUGCGUCAGGAGGAGGCUGGGAGCCAAACCCGGGUUUGAAUAAAGACUCUUUGCUUUUGCAUCGGAGAAAAGGCUCCCUAGUGGUUGAUUAUUGGGGACCCUGAACUCUGGGCAUAACAUUUGGGGGCUCGUCCGGGAUUCCCCAAUACCCACGAGGGACCCGAUCCGAAGAGUCUGACUGCUGACUGACCGCGGAGGCCAUCCAGGCUUUCAGCUCACAAGAAAUCUUCUCCUGCGAGAGGAGAGAGGGACCCUCCAGAAGGGGCUGGAGGCUCUCCCUCUCAACAGUUUAACCUUUGACUGUGUGAUUGAAUUACGGAGCUUUUAUCAAGGUUUUGCCUCUCCUGAAACAACGCUCCAUGUGUAACCUGUCCCUCCCCGAGCCGGACUGCAGGAUGAUUUUUCCUUCAACACACUGGUCCCGCCCACUGGCCUAUGGCAGAAGCCAGAAAAAGCGACGAUAAGAAAGGGAGGCCCCAUCAGGGGACUUAGAGGCAGUGUUUCUGUUAUCUGCUUAGAUCCCAAGAAUGGUCAGGAAGAAACUGAAAGCUGGAAUUCAUAACCAUUCCCUUACUCAAGUCCUUACAGGCUCUGCAGUAUACCCAGAGAGCCACCCAUAAGCUUGUUCGUGAUGCUCUGCCAGUGCCCACUGCGGACCCUGUACAUCCCUUCCAGCCCAAGAACUCGGUAUGGGUAAAAAAGGUCACUGCCCAAGGACUCACCCCAACCUGGGAGGGAUGCUACACUGUUAUCCUGAGCACGCCCACGGCUGUUGAAGUAGAUGGCGUCCAGACCUGGCUACACCACUCCCAGCUCCUGCACCAGGAAACGGCCUGGAUCCUGGCAACCAGCGGCCUCACCCGUGAGAUCCCUAGCCUGGGCUCCACGCAGGCCAGGAGGAAUCUCGACACCUGCAGGAGAGGAACUGGAAUUCGCUGUGGACAGUACUGUUGGGGACUGUAGUACUAAAGGCCUUGGCCAGAAGUAAGAGACAAAGUAGAAAUGCAAACCGUCUCAUGAUUGAGCCGGGUGUCCCAAGACAAGGGGGGAAUGAAAGGGCAGAGCAGGACAGCACAAAAUGUACUGUACCCUCCAUCCUGUGUAACUAUGUAUCAGACUCCUUUUUCUUAGAAAACCGCGAGAAUGUAACAAUUGCAUGAACCUGCCAAUAGGAAUGUAGAGAAGUAGAUUCAGUCCAAAUUAGGCAAUCUCUGUAACCCACGUCACUUCCCUAAGCCCACCCAAAUGUCCAACCCUUUAUAAUUCAUCACUCCCCCGGAGUUCGCUCUCUGGCCCCACUGCUGCGUCAGGAGGAGGCUGGGAGCCAAACCCGGGUUUGAAUAAAGACUCUUUGCUUUUGCAUCGGAGAAAAGGCUCCCUAGUGGUUGAUUAUUGGGGA